GGCGAACGGGUGAGUAACACGUGGGUGAUCUGCCCUGCACUUCGGGAUAAGCCUGGGAAACUGGGUCUAAUACCAGAUAGGACCAUGCUUUGGAUGGUGUGGUGGAAAGUUUUUCGGUGUGGGAUGAGCUUGCGGCCUAUCAGCUUGUUGGUGGGGUAAUGGCCUACCAAGGCGUCGACGGGUAGCCGGCCUGAGAGGGUGUACGGCCACAUUGGGACUGAGAUACGGCCCAG
rnacentral:rRNA from 1 species